rnacentral:rRNA from 1 species
GUGCCAGCCGCCGCGGUAAUACGUAGGGUGCGAGCAUUGUCCGGAAUUAUUGGGCGUAAAGAGCUCGUAGGCGGCUUGUCACGUCGGAUGUGAAAUCCCGGGGCUUAACUCCGGGUCUGCAUUCGAUACGGGCAGGCUAGAGUUCGGUAGGGGAGAUCGGAAUUCCUGGUGUAGCGGUGAAAUGCGCAGAUAUCAGGAGGAACACCGGUGGCGAAGGCGGAUCUCUGGGCCGAUACUGACGCUGAGGAGCGAAAGCGUGGGGAGCGAACAGGAUUAGAUACCCCCGUAGUCC